GUGAACGAGCGACGCCGCGUGCGGGAUGAAGGGCUUCGGCUUGUAAACCGCUUUUGUUUGGGAAGAAUGCCCGGAUCGUGAAUUCGGGAGGGACGGUACCAGACGAAUAAGCCACGGCUAACUCUGUGCCAGCAGCCGCGGUAAUUCAGAGGUGGCAAGCGUUGUUCGGAACCACUGGGCGUAAAGGGCGCGUAGGCGGUGGCGUAAGUUCGUGGUGAAAUCCCCCGGCUCAACCGGGGAAUGGCUGCGAAUACUGCGUCGCUUGAGGAUGAGAGGGGAGAGUGGAACUUCUGGUGGAGCGGUGAAAUGCGUAGAUAUCAGAAGGAACGCCGGAGGCGAAAGCGACUCUCUGGAUCAUUCCUGACGCUGAGGCGCGAAAGCUAGGGGAGCAAAAGGGAUUAGAUACCCCUGUAGUCCUAGCCGUAAACGAU
rnacentral:rRNA from 1 species